GAUGAACGUAGCGAAAUGCGAUAAGUAAUGUGAAUUGCAGAAUUCAGUGAAUCAUCGAAUCUUUGAACGCACAUUGCGCCCAUUAGUAUUCUAGUGGGCAUGCCUGUUCGAGCGUCAUUAAGUCCACUUAAGCCCUGCUUAGUGUUGGGAGACUGCUCCAGCGGUGCUACCCUGUAGCUACCCUGCAGCUCCUCAAAGACAGCGGCGGAGUUGUGGUAUCCUCUGAGCUUAGUAACUUGUUCUAGCUUUCGAGUACACCACUUCCCCUGCCGUAAAACCCUUAAUUUUUAAUGGUUGACCUCGGAUCAGGUAGGAAUACCCGCUGAACUUAAGCAUAUCAAUAAGCGGAGGA
rnacentral:misc_RNA from 1 species